AUGCAGGAUAAAAACAUGCCGCUGAACCUCAUACCUGCCGCUGGAAUGAAGUUAACCACAUACAACAAAGCAUGGGACUUCUACAACAGUUAUGCAAGAUAUGCAGGGUUUGGCAUACGCAAGAGGGCAAAACACAAGACAAAUGCCUACAUUGUCUACUCAAGAGAAGGGGCGCACAAGCAGACCGUGUCAGAUUAUGACCGGAAACGUGAGAAGACAUCAAAAAGGAUUGGCUGCAAGGCCAAAAUAAGAGUCAAAAAGAGGAAGGAUGACAAAUUUGUGAUAGAAAUGGUUGAACUAAAUCACAAUCAUAAGAUGCUGGAAAGCCCCGGGAUGCUUUUGCACAUGCGCUCGCACAAAAGAGACGAUCCUUUCAUUGACCAGUUGGUGAAGGACAUGCAGCUGGACAACCACACACACGCACAGAUGAUGUCAACGCUGUCGCAUAUGUCCGGUGGUCUGCAGUACAUGGGACAUACUAGCCGUGACUGGGUAAACAAGAAACGGAAGUUUGCCAGAGAAGAGUCCCAAGAUGACGUCAAAAAACUUCUGGAUUUCUUCGAGAAGAUGCAAAAGAUAAACCCAGAGUUCUUCUAUGAUUAUGACGUUGAUGCAGAUAACCGUGUAAGAAAUGUCUUUUGGGCCAACGCAAGUUGCAAAGGAUCGUAUGAAGAUUUGGGAGACUGCGUUACAUUUGACACGACAUGUAAAACUAACAAAUUUCACAUGCCGCUGGGAGUCUUCGUGGGAGUGAACCAUCAUCUACAAAGUACCAUAUUUGUUGUCGCCCUUGUGCGAGAUGAAACAAUACCGUCGUUCGAGUGGGUUUUCAACACAUUCCUGAGGUGUAUGAACAACAAGCCGCCAAUCUGCAUGCUCACAGACCAAUGUUCUUCGAUGAAGGCAAUUAAAACUAUCCUCCCAGAUACAUUACAUAGGUUGUGUAGGUGGCAUAUCAUGAAGAAGUACAAAGACCACCUUGCCUUGCUGUAUAAGGCGCACGAGAGACUAAAGGAUGACCUCAAUGUGGUGCUGAACCACCCACUAAUGCCACCAGAAUUUGAACGGGCAUGGAAGGACCUCAUUCGGAAAUACAACUUGCAAAACGACAAAGUGAUGAAUUCGCUGUGGGAUGACAUGCACGAGUGGAUCUCGGCUUACUACAAGGAAAUUUUCUGUGCUCGGAUGACUUCCACGUAG
rnacentral:rRNA from 1 species